GGAUUUGUGGUUGGAGAGGUCCGCCGUUGCUAUGCUUCGUGUUGGAUUUUUCCGUCCAUCCUUGGGUGGAUCCUGUGUGGCAUUCAGUUGUCGUGCAGGGGAUGCCCAUCGUUUACUGUGAAAAAAUUAGAGUGUUCAAAGCAGGCUUACGCCUUGAAUAUAUUAGCAUGGAAUAAUAAGAUAGGACCUGGGUACUAUUUUGUUGGUUUGCGCACCGAGGUAAUGAUUAAUAGGGACAGUUGGGGGUAUUCGUAUUCCAUUGUCAGAGGUGAAAUUCUUGGAUUUUUGGAAGACGAACUACUGCGAAAGCAUUUACCAAGGAUGUUUUCAUUAAUCAAGAACGAAAGUUAGGGGAUCGAAGAUGAUUAGAU
rnacentral:rRNA from 1 species